ACAGAAAACAUACCGCCCAUAAGGGUAAGGGUGAAAUGGUGGGGUAAGAGCCCACCGGCGCACGAGUGAUCGCGCGCGCAUGCUAAACCCCACCCGGAGCAAGACCAAAUAGGAGGGUGAGUGGCCCGCUCAUAUCUCUCGGGUAUGGUCGCUCGAGCCGGCGAGCAAUCGCAUGGCCCAGAUGAAUGAUCGCCGCCCGCAAGGGUACAGAACCCGGCUUACAGACUCACUCCGGCA
rnacentral:RNase_P_RNA from 1 species